UGGGGAAUAUUGGACAAUGGGGGCAACCCUGAUCCAGCCAUGCCGCGUGAGUGAUGAAGGCCCUAGGGUUGUAAAGCUCUUUUGUGCGGGAAGAUAAUGACGGUACCGCAAGAAUAAGCCCCGGCUAACUUCGUGCCAGCAGCCGCGGUAAUACGAAGGGGGCUAGCGUUGCUCGGAAUCACUGGGCGUAAAGGGUGCGUAGGCGGGUUUCUAAGUCAGAGGUGAAAGCCUGGAGCUCAACUCCAGAACUGCCUUUGAUACUGGAAGUCUUGAGUAUGGCAGAGGUGAGUGGAACUGCGAGUGUAGAGGUGAAAUUCGUAGAUAUUCGCAAGAACACCAGUGGCGAAGGCGGCUCACUGGGCCAUUACUGACGCUGAGGCACGAAGCGUGGGGAGCAAACAGGAUUAGAUACCCUGGUAGUCCACGCCGUAACGAUGAAUGCCAGCCGUUAGUGGGUUUUACUCACUAGUGGCGCAGCUAACGCUUUAAGCAUUCCGCCUGGGGAGUACGGUCGCAAGAUUAAA
rnacentral:rRNA from 1 species